AUUUCUUUCCCGCCACACUACCCAAAUUAAAGCGAUGCACGCAGCUUGCCAUAAAACAAUCCCUCUCUUAGAAAAUCCAAAACUGUUAAAAUUGGUAGACAAUAUGUCAGAGAUGCUCCUUGGGGGGGACCCAAUCUGUCUUGGCUAACUGAAAUAAUUUGUGCCACAACCCCAUCGUCAAAGAACAAUGGAGAAAAAGAUGAUAUACUGAUUUUCCAUGUUUCAUGCACAACUUACAAAUGUCAAGACUAAGUGCUUUGUAGGGUCUUCUCGACUGUAUCAAGUCAUUAGUAUUUACCUUCUCUAUGGGUAUAAUAUUAUGAGAGUUAGACAGACAUGCAUUGCUUUAUUUGCAACUAUGAUCAGUAGCUACUUUACCUAGUUUUGUCUAUGGCAGGCAUCUUGUUGCCAAGUAUGUGUUGUCAGUUUUUAUUUACAAUUAGCAGGUACAGGCUGGUUUGCCAGAUUACCAGGCAGAUUUAGAAGCUGAGGAUGGAAGUAUCAAAGCAUGCUCAAGAAUAAUUUAAUUGUUAAGAACCAGUAGUGAGUUGAAGUUGAUAAAAAGAUUGAUGCUAAUAGUGCUACAGUUGCUGGGGAGUGGCCAGCAGGCCUGUAUUGAACUCAUCUUGGUAAUAUGUGAGAUUUUCUUGGUGUACAGAGUGUCAACCACUGCUGAUUCCUCUCAAGAUUGGGUGCACAUAUCCCAUGGUUUAUGAGGUAGACUGCAGGUUGACAGUGUAAACUGGAAAUGCUUGCCCUUGUCAGAAUGGAUAUAUUGCAGCAUACUUACCAAAACCCAGGUUAAGACUGAUACAGCAUGCUUGCACAAUCUAGGCCAUUGCUGGGUGCCUGACUCAAGGAGCAACAUUGAAAUGGACUUGUACCCCAGAAAGAGCAAUGGAAGCAACUUUUUUAGGACUUGCUGCUGGGGCAUCUGAGGCUUCCUUGUGAUUGCUUUGCAUUGAUUGGCAGAAGUAGUGGAGUAGGGUGUGUCCCAUGGUUGAAGAUAUAUGCUAUGGAGGAAAGAAAGAAACACUGGAAAACAGCGGGUGUAGUGAAUUUGAUCACAAUUUAUGUCAUAGAUGCAUAUUCAUGUUGGUUGUACUUGGUCUUGUUUCAUUUCUUCUACUGCAUGUUACUAGAAAGUAAGGAGUUAAAAGUUUGUUAUUGUACAAGUGUGUUUGUGUUGGUAUUGUAGAAUAAAUUCCAAUGAAUGUCUUAUUAAGUUAUGAUCCACUAGUUAAAACCUUAAGUUA